UGGGGAAUUUUGGACAAUGGGCGCAAGCCUGAUCCAGCCAUGCCGCGUGCGGGAAGAAGGCCUUCGGGUUGUAAACCGCUUUUAGCUGGGAAGAAAAGGCGCCGGAUAACACCCGGCGUUCUUGACAGUACCGGCGGAAUAAGCACCGGCUAACUACGUGCCAGCAGCCGCGGUAAUACGUAGGGUGCGAGCGUUAAUCGGAAUUACUGGGCGUAAAGCGUGCGCAGGCGGUUCGUCGUGUCUGUCGUGAAAGCCCCGGGCUUAACCUGGGAAUGGCGAUGGAAACUGGCGAGCUUGAGUGCGGCAGAGGGGGGUGGAAUUCCGCGUGUAGCAGUGAAAUGCGUAGAGAUGCGGAGGAACACCGAUGGCGAAGGCAGCCCCCUGGGUCGACACUGACGCUCAGGCACGAAAGCGUGGGGAGCAAACAG
rnacentral:rRNA from 1 species